rnacentral:rRNA from 1 species
ACACAUGCAGUCGAGCGGUAGCACAGAGAGCUUGCUCUCGGGUGACGAGCGGCGGACGGGUGAGUAAUGUCUGGGAAACUGCCUGAUGGAGGGGGAUAACUACUGGAAACGGUAGCUAAUACCGCAUAAUGUCGCAAGACCAAAGUGGGGGACCUUCGGGCCUCAUGCCAUCAGAUGUGCCCAGAUGGGAUUAGCUAGUAGGUGGGGUAACGGCUCACCUAGGCGACGAUCCCUAGCUGGUCUGAGAGGAUGACCAGCCACACUGGAACUGAGACACGGUCCAGACUCCUACGGGAGGCAGCAGUGGGGAAUAUUGCACAAUGGGCGCAAGCCUGAUGCAGCCAUGCCGCGUGUGUGAAGAAGGCCUUCGGGUUGUAAAGCACUUUCAGCGGGGAGGAAGGCGUUAAGGUUAAUAACCUUAUCGAUUGACGUUACCCGCAGAAGAAGCACCGGCUAACUCCGUGCCAGCAGCCGCGGUAAUACGGAGGGUGCAAGCGUUAAUCGGAAUUACUGGGCGUAAAGCGCACGCAGGCGGUCUGUCAAGUCGGAUGUGAAAUCCCCGGGCUCAACCUGGGAACUGCAUUCGAAACUGGCAGGCUAGAGUCUUGUAGAGGGGGGUAGAAUUCCAGGUGUAGCGGUGAAAUGCGUAGAGAUCUGGAGGAAUACCGGUGGCGAAGGCGGCCCCCUGGACAAAGACUGACGCUCAGGUGCGAAAGCGUGGGGAGCAAACAGGAUUAGAUACCCUGGUAGUCCACGCCGUAACGAUGUCGAUUUGGAGGUUGUGCCCUUGAGGCGUGGCUUCCGGAGCUAACGCGUUAAAUCGACCGCCUGGGGAGUACGGCCGCAAGGUUAAAACUCAAAUGAAUUGACGGGGGCCCGCACAAGCGGUGGAGCAUGUGGUUUAAUUCGAUGCAACGCGAAGAACCUUACCUGGUCUUGACAUCCACAGAACUUUCCAGAGAUGGAUUGGUGCCUUCGGGAACUGUGAGACAGGUGCUGCAUGGCUGUCGUCAGCUCGUGUUGUGAAAUGUUGGGUUAAGUCCCGCAACGAGCGCAACCCUUAUCCUUUGUUGCCAGCGGUCCGGCCGGGAACUCAAAGGAGACUGCCAGUGAUAAACUGGAGGAAGGUGGGGAUGACGUCAAGUCAUCAUGGCCCUUACGACCAGGGCUACACACGUGCUACAAUGGCAUAUACAAAGAGAAGCGACCUCGCGAGAGCAAGCGGACCUCAUAAAGUAUGUCGUAGUCCGGAUUGGAGUCUGCAACUCGACUCCAUGAAGUCGGAAUCGCUAGUAAUCGUAGAUCAGAAUGCUACGGUGAAUACGUUCCCGGGCCUUGUACACACCGCCCGUCACACCAUGGGAGUGGGUUGCAAAAGAAGUAGGUAGCUUAACCUUCGGGAGGGCGCUACCACUUU